CCAUUUAAACCAUUACAUAGCCCAAUAUGUUAAUAUGAUAAGAGACGGUUCAGGUUAUAUCCCUUUAUCGAUCCCGUGUCUCUGAAAAUCACUCAUCCUCCCUAACCCUAAGCGCCGUCUCAGACCCUUUGUCGAUUCUCUUCCUCUCCCCCACCUUCCUAAACGCUCCCAGUUAAUCUCCUUUAUCAAGCGUACAAAGAAUCUUCGUAACUGUCUUCAGAUGCUGCUGUUGCGCAAUGCCUUCGACGCUCUUCGCCUCGGUCGAUCGUCGCAGUUCGUUAUCGCUCGGCUUCUCCGUUUUUGGGACUCGGAAAGUAUGAAGAACAUGGUGAAUUCAUAGAAUCACUCUACUUAUCCUUGAUGAGAAGUAUUACAGGACCUCCUAUAGUCUCAAAGAGACUGAUGUGGCUGUAUUGGAAUCUUGACCCAUAAGGUGAUGAUUACUCUUUACGCACAGAUGGUGAUACCAUGCAUAGUUUGAUCAAACUCCGUUUAGGUUUUCUUUAGGGAAACAAAUGAAGGUAAAAAGCCAAGAGCAGAAACUAGCUGUGCCGGAACCAGCAUUGAUCAAGGACCUUGAUUCAAGGAAGAGAGAAUAUCCUUUUUGAGCAAUGGCUCGAUUGAUCAAGGAGAAACAGUGUUUUUCUAAAGCAAUGGGUACUGAAAACCUCCCCUUAAGUUGCAUUAAAGAAGCCAUCAUCAUUGAUGAAAGGAAAGAGCCUGCUAUAUUGAUGACGAUUGUGAUCACAGAGAAAGACACAAAGAAAUUUGAGCUUGGAUUCAGCAGGUGGUGGUAGCCAACAAGAUGAUACAAUCGUUGAGAGAUGUAACCCAUUGAGAGGAGAGAUAUAAGAAGCUCAUGAUUUGGUUUAAAAGAUGAGAUAUAAGAAGCUCGUGAUUUGGUUUAACAGAUGACAUAUAUAAGAGUUGAGGUUAAGUAGAAAUGUUAACCUUUGUGUUACGGUCAUUUGUUUGUCUUUUUCUGUCUCUGCAAUACAAACAGCUUUUACUCUGUUGUUUUUCCUUUUGGUUUCAGUUUGAAGCAAAAGCUAUGAAUCUGUCAUUUGUGUCAUCUGAGAUUAGACUUUUUGUUUGUAAUUGAUUAUUGUUUCUUUGGCAGCAAACAAAGCCUUGGAUUUUAAA